rnacentral:rRNA from 1 species
UACGGAGAGUGCAAACGUUGUUCGGAAUCAUUGGGCGUAAAGGGCGCGUAGGCGGUUGGACAGGUCGGAUGUGAAAUCCCCGGGCUUAACCUGGGAACUGCGUUCGAAACCGUUCAGCUGGAGUACCGGAGGGAGAGGUGGAAUUCCUGGUGUAGGGGUGAAAUCCGUAGAGAUCAGGAGGAACACCGGUGGCGAAGGCGACCUCUUGGCCGGCUACUGACGCUGAGGCGCGAAGGCGUGGGGAGCAAACAGG